rnacentral:rRNA from 1 species
GAUGAACGCUAGCGACAGGCCUAACACAUGCAAGUCGAGGGGCAGCACGAGGUAGCAAUACUAGGGUGGCGACCGGCGGACGGGUGAGUAACACGUAUGCAACCUGCCCGUAAUCGGGGGAUAACCCGGAGAAAUUCGGACUAACACUCCAUGUAUCUGUAUUAUUGCAUGAUAAAACAGAAAAACGCAAGGAUUACGGAUGGGCAUGCGGAUGAUUAGCUGGUUGGCGGGGUAACGGCCCACCAAGGCGACGAUCAUUAGGGGUUCUGAGAGGAAGGUCCCCCACAUUGGAACUGAGAAACGGUCCAAACUCCUACGGGAGGCAGCAGUGAGGAAUAUUGGUCAAUGGGCGAGAGCCUGAACCAGCCAAGUCGCGUGAGUGAUGAAGGUCCUAGAGAUUGUAAAACUCUUUUCUGAGGAAAGAAUGAAUAGGGAAGGAAAUGUCCUUAUUUUGACGGUACCUCAGGAAUAAGGAACGGCUAACUCCGUG